rnacentral:rRNA from 1 species
AGUGAACGCUGGCGGUAGGCCUAACACAUGCAAGUCGAACGGCAGCACAGUAAGAGCUUGCUCUUACGGGUGGCGAGUGGCGGACGGGUGAGGAAUACAUCGGAAUCUACUUUUUCGUGGGGGAUAACGUAGGGAAACUUACGCUAAUACCGCAUACGACCUACGGGUGAAAGCAGGGGAUCUUCGGACCUUGCGCGAUUGAAUGAGCCGAUGUCGGAUUAGCUAGUUGGCGGGGUAAAGGCCCACCAAGGCGACGAUCCGUAGCUGGUCUGAGAGGAGGAUCAGCCACACUGGAACUGAGACAUGGUCCAGACUCCUACGGGAGGCAGCAGUGGGGAAUAUUGGACAAUGGGCGCAAGCCUGAUCCAGCCAUACCGCGUGGGUGAAGAAGGCCUUCGGGUUGUAAAGCCCUUUUGUUGGGAAAGAAAAGCAGCAGGUUAAUACCCCGCUGUUCUGACGGUACCCAAAGAAUAAGCACCGGCUAACUUCGUG